rnacentral:lncRNA from 1 species
AAAAUAAAAAAAUGAAGUCUUCAAGUUUCACACUAACACUCUCUCUCUCUCCACUGUGAUCCAUUAAUUUCUUCCCACCUUUUUCCUUUUUCCCCUUCUCUUUUCUUGAAUCAGAAUCUUGAACUCAACCAUUAAAAAAAAAAGAAUAAAAACUUUGAUCCAACUCUUUGAUUCUUUCAAUAAAUUUCUCUCUGUACUGCCUGCUACUUCUCUUUGAUCCGG